CUGGGACAGUGUUUAUCAUGAUUUUUUUUUUUUUUUUUUCUGAGGGGGUCAUGUGGGGACCAUUGGUUGACUUGACAUUGAAUGACCC